GUUAGGGAGCUUCUCCCCUGCAGAGAAUCCCUGAUCUCCCAAAAUUUGGUUGAGAUCUAAGGUUGAUUUUGCUAUACAACUCCUUUUCUGAAGUUUUACUUAUUUCCAACAAGGCAAGUUUUCCUGCUUCCGUGAUGAUGGAGAGCAGGCACCUCCUUUCUUGAGUUUCAGCUUGCUUCUGACAGGGAAGGUGAGUGUAAGUUUUUUCCAGCUUCUAAGAUGGCAGAGAACAAUCACCAGCCUGAGACUUAUUUCCAGCAGAGCUGGAAGCUGUAUCUUCAAAAUAUGUCUGUUUGACUCAAAACAAUCAAGGUAUUCAACAGGAGUUAUUAUGUAUGAAAAAAUACAACAGGAAUGUAAAAAUCUUGAGGAGGCUAAAAAGAUGUUGGAAAAAGUAAUAUUAAAUCUUAAAAGACGUAUGGAAAGUACACAUUGGUGAAGACACAUUGGUGAAGUACAAAAAUAUAAAUUGGAUCUAGAAGAAAGGGCAAUGCAGGCAAUGGAAAAAUUAGUACAAAUCCCUUUACAGUAAUGAUUCUCAGUGUGGAGUCAUUUGAUUAUUAAGACCCAUUGACAUGAGAUUACAUCCUCUGCCUAUAAAAAUCCUGGAAGAAAACCUAGGAAAUAUUCACCUGGACAUUGCACUUGGCAAUGAAUUUAUGGGUAAGUCCUCAAAAGCAAUUGCCAGAAAAAUAAAAAUUGACAAGUAUGAUUUAAUUAAACUAAAGAGCUUCUUCUGCACAGCAUGAGAAACUCUCAAGGGAUUGAACAGACAGCCUACCGAGUGGAAGAAAAUAUUCACACACUAUGCAUACAGCAAAGGCCUAUUAUCCAGAAGCCAUAAGAGACUUAGGCAAAUCAACGAGCAAAAAAUAAAUAACCCCAUUAAAAAAUGGGCAAAGAACGUGAACAGUUUUCAGAAGAACACAUAUGUGGCCAACAAACAUAUUAACACAUGCAUACCAUCACUAAUCAUCAGAGAAAUGCAAAACAAAACAUCAGUGAA